UUAAGCGACUAAGCGUACACGGUGGAUGCCCUGGCAGUCAGAGGCGAUGAAGGACGUGCUAAUCUGCGAUAAGCGUCGGUAAGGUGAUAUGAACCGUUAUAACCGGCGAUUUCCGAAUGGGGAAACCCAGUGUGAUUCGUCACACUAUCAUUAACUGAAUCCAUAGGUUAAUGAGGCGAACCGGGGGAACUGAAACAUCUAAGUACCCCGAGGAAAAGAAAUCAACCGAGAUUCCCCCAGUAGCGGCGAGCGAACGGGGAGCAGCCCAGAGCCUGAAUCAGUGUGUGUGUUAGUGGAAGCGUCUGGAAAGGCGCGCGAUACAGGGUGACAGCCCCGUACACAAAAAUGCACAUGCUGUGAGCUCGAUGAGUAGGGCGGGACACGUGGUAUCCUGUCUGAAUAUGGGGGGACCAUCCUCCAAGGCUAAAUACUCCUGACUGACCGAUAGUGAACCAGUACCGUGAGGGAAAGGCGAAAAGAACCCCGGCGAGGGGAGUGAAAAAGAACCUGAAACCGUGUACGUACAAGCAGUGGGAGCACGCUUAGGCGUGUGACUGCGUACCUUUUGUAUAAUGGGUCAGCGACUUAUAUUCUGUAGCAAGGUUAACCGAAUAGGGGAGCCGAAGGGAAACCGAGUCUUAACUGGGCGUUAAGUUGCAGGGUAUAGACCCGAAACCCGGUGAUCUAGCCAUGGGCAGGUUGAAGGUUGGGUAACACUAACUGGAGGACCGAACCGACUAAUGUUGAAAAAUUAGCGGAUGACUUGUGGCUGGGGGUGAAAGGCCAAUCAAACCGGGAGAUAGCUGGUUCUCCCCGAAAGCUAUUUAGGUAGCGCCUCGUGAAUUCAUCUCCGGGGGUAGAGCACUGUUUCGGCAAGGGGGUCAUCCCGACUUACCAACCCGAUGCAAACUGCGAAUACCGGAGAAUGUUAUCACGGGAGACACACGGCGGGUGCUAACGUCCGUCGUGAAGAGGGAAACAACCCAGACCGCCAGCUAAGGUCCCAAAGUCAUGGUUAAGUGGGAAACGAUGUGGGAAGGCCCAGACAGCCAGGAUGUUGGCUUAGAAGCAGCCAUCAUUUAAAGAAAGCGUAAUAGCUCACUGGUCGAGUCGGCCUGCGCGGAAGAUGUAACGGGGCUAAACCAUGCACCGAAGCUGCGGCAGCGACGCUUAUGCGUUGUUGGGUAGGGGAGCGUUCUGUAAGCCUGCGAAGGUGUGCUGUGAGGCAUGCUGGAGGUAUCAGAAGUGCGAAUGCUGACAUAAGUAACGAUAAAGCGGGUGAAAAGCCCGCUCGCCGGAAGACCAAGGGUUCCUGUCCAACGUUAAUCGGGGCAGGGUGAGUCGACCCCUAAGGCGAGGCCGAAAGGCGUAGUCGAUGGGAAACAGGUUAAUAUUCCUGUACUUGGUGUUACUGCGAAGGGGGGACGGAGAAGGCUAUGUUGGCCGGGCGACGGUUGUCCCGGUUUAAGCGUGUAGGCUGGUUUUCCAGGCAAAUCCGGAAAACUAAGGCUGAGGCGUGAUGACGAGGCACUACGGUGCUGAAGCAACAAAUGCCCUGCUUCCAGGAAAAGCCUCUAAGCAUCAGGUAACAUCAAAUCGUACCCCAAACCGACACAGGUGGUCAGGUAGAGAAUACCAAGGCGCUUGAGAGAACUCGGGUGAAGGAACUAGGCAAAAUGGUGCCGUAACUUCGGGAGAAGGCACGCUGAUAUGUAGGUGAAGUCCCUCGCGGAUGGAGCUGAAAUCAGUCGAAGAUACCAGCUGGCUGCAACUGUUUAUUAAAAACACAGCACUGUGCAAACACGAAAGUGGACGUAUACGGUGUGACGCCUGCCCGGUGCCGGAAGGUUAAUUGAUGGGGUCAGCGCAAGCGAAGCUCUUGAUCGAAGCCCCGGUAAACGGCGGCCGUAACUAUAACGGUCCUAAGGUAGCGAAAUUCCUUGUCGGGUAAGUUCCGACCUGCACGAAUGGCGUAAUGAUGGCCAGGCUGUCUCCACCCGAGACUCAGUGAAAUUGAACUCGCUGUGAAGAUGCAGUGUACCCGCGGCAAGACGGAAAGACCCCGUGAACCUUUACUAUAGCUUGACACUGAACAUUGAGCCUUGAUGUGUAGGAUAGGUGGGAGGCUUUGAAGUGUGGACGCCAGUCUGCAUGGAGCCGACCUUGAAAUACCACCCUUUAAUGUUUGAUGUUCUAACGUUGACCCGUAAUCCGGGUUGCGGACAGUGUCUGGUGGGUAGUUUGACUGGGGCGGUCUCCUCCUAAAGAGUAACGGAGGAGCACGAAGGUUGGCUAAUCCUGGUCGGACAUCAGGAGGUUAGUGCAAUGGCAUAAGCCAGCUUGACUGCGAGCGUGACGGCGCGAGCAGGUGCGAAAGCAGGUCAUAGUGAUCCGGUGGUUCUGAAUGGAAGGGCCAUCGCUCAACGGAUAAAAGGUACUCCGGGGAUAACAGGCUGAUACCGCCCAAGAGUUCAUAUCGACGGCGGUGUUUGGCACCUCGAUGUCGGCUCAUCACAUCCUGGGGCUGAAGUAGGUCCCAAGGGUAUGGCUGUUCGCCAUUUAAAGUGGUACGCGAGCUGGGUUUAGAACGUCGUGAGACAGUUCGGUCCCUAUCUGCCGUGGGCGCUGGAGAACUGAGGGGGGCUGCUCCUAGUACGAGAGGACCGGAGUGGACGCAUCACUGGUGUUCGGGUUGUCAUGCCAAUGGCACUGCCCGGUAGCUAAAUGCGGAAGAGAUAAGUGCUGAAAGCAUCUAAGCACGAAACUUGCCCCGAGAUGAGUUCUCCCUGACUCCUUGAGAGUCCUGAAGGAACGUUGAAGACGACGACGUUGAUAGGCCGGGUGUGUAAGCGCAGCGAUGCGUUGAGCUAACCGGUACUAAUGAACCGUGAGGCUUAACCUU
rnacentral:rRNA from 1 species